rfam:Vigna angularis cultivar Jingnong 6 scaffold783_4, whole genome shotgun sequence.
AGCCAUGAGGUAAACACAACAAACUAUUAUUUUGCCUUUAGUAAAGAAUACCGUGUGUUUUUUCCACUAGGUGGCAUACGCCUGUUUUUGAAAGAGUCCCUUUUGGAGGGUUC